UAACUUUGAGCGGUGGAUCACUCGGCUCGUGCGUCGAGAAGAGCGCAGCCAGCUGCGUGAAUUAAUGUGAAUUGCAGAAACAUUGAACAUCGACAUCUUGAACGCACAUGGCGGCCUCGGGUCCGUCCCGAGGCCACGCCCGUCUGAGGGUCGGC
rnacentral:rRNA from 1 species